rnacentral:rRNA from 1 species
GAUGAACGCUGGCGGCGUGCCUAAUACAUGCAAGUCGAGCGAACGGACGAGAAGCUUGCUUCUCUGACGUUAGCGGCGGACGGGUGAGUAACACGUGGAUAACCUACCUAUAAGACUGGGAUAACUUCGGGAAACCGGAGCUAAUACCGGAUAAUAUUUUGAACCGCAUGGUUCAAAAGUGAAAGACGGUCUUGCUGUCACUUAUAGAUGGAUCCGCGCUGCAUUAGCUAGUUGGUAAGGUAACGGCUUACCAAGGCAACGAUGCAUAGCCUACCUGAGAGGGUGAUCGGCCACACUGGAACUGAGACACGGUCCAGACUCCUACGGGAGGCAGCAGUAGGGAAUCUUCCGCAAUGGGCGAAAGCCUGACGGAGCAACGCCGCGUGAGUGAUGAAGGUCUUCGGAUCGUAAAACUCUGUUAUUAGGGAAGAACAUAUGUGUAAGUAACUGUGCACAUCUUGACGGUACCUAAUCAGAAAGCCACGGCUAACUACGUG